GUGGGGAAUUUUGGACAAUGGGCGCAAGCCUGAUCCAGCAAUGCCGCGUGCAGGAAGAAGGCCUUCGGGUUGUAAACUGCUUUUGUACGGAACGAAACGGUUCUCUCUAAUACAGGGGGCUAAUGACGGUACCGUAAGAAUAAGCACCGGCUAACUACGUGCCAGCAGCCGCGGUAAUACGUAGGGUGCAAGCGUUAAUCGGAAUUACUGGGCGUAAAGCGUGCGCAGGCGGUUUUGUAAGACAGAGGUGAAAUCCCCGGGCUCAACCUGGGAACUGCCUUUGUGACUGCAAGGCUGGAGUGCGGCAGAGGGGGAUGGAAUUCCGCGUGUAGCAGUGAAAUGCGUAGAUAUGCGGAGGAACACCGAUGGCGAAGGCAAUCCCCUGGGCCUGCACUGACGCUCAUGCACGAAAGCGUGGGGAGCAAACAGGAUUAGAUACCCUGGUAGUCC
rnacentral:rRNA from 1 species